UCUUCUUCCUCAGGAUGGUUCAGAAGAACAUCACAAUGUCCCACAGGAUGAUCAGGUUCCUAAAAUACAGGAUCCGCUCAGUGGAGAUCUUCUAUAUAAGAUCCUUCUCCUGAUUGACCCGUCAAGGAUGGAUUGGGACAAGAUGGCAGAGAGUAUAAUAAAUCUCACCCUAGAGAUCAUCUUCCGGCUUACUGGAGAGGACUACACAGUAGUGAAGAAGAUCUCUAGUGAGCACUGUCAGACCCCCGUGUCUGAAGGAUGGGGAAGAACCCUGAGCCCAAUCACAGAGCCUCCACCUCACCCCCUGAUACAUGAGGAGAUCAAUAGAGAGAAGAUCCUAGA